rnacentral:rRNA from 1 species
AAUGGUAAGCCCUUUCGUGGGGUUCGACUGGCGCUCGGUUGCGUAACGCGUGCCCAUCUUUCACUUCCGAGGUUGUAAUUAUCUGGUAAUUUGGUUCAAUAACCUAAUAUGAUAUUGGUCGUCAUUUCUUGGGGCGAUCCCCCUGUGAGAUGUAAGUUGCAUAUGCGUCACGCACCCGUGCUCCGGUUUCAGCGCCACACAGAGCCUCCCACACGUCUUGGUUGUGUGAGGGAGAUCGCCAACGCUGGUCCUGAGCCAGGGUCAAACUCUCUACGGGAGGCAGCAGUGGGGAAUAUUGCACAAUGGGCGCAAGCCUGAUGCAGCGACGCCGCGUGAGGGAUGACGGCCUUCGGGUUGUAAACCUCUUUCAAUAGGGACGAAGCGCAAGUGACGGUACCUAUAGAAGAAGGACCGGCCAACUACGUGCCAGCAGCCGCGGUAAUACGUAGGGUCCGAGCGUUGUCCGGAAUUACUGGGCGUAAAGAGCUCGUAGGUGGUUUGUCGCGUUGUUCGUGAAAACUCACAGCUUAACUGUGGGCGUGCGGGCGAUACGGGCAGACUAGAGUACUGCAGGGGAGACUGGAAUUCCUGGUGUAGCGGUGGAAUGCGCAGAUAUCAGGAGGAACACCGGUGGCGAAGGCGGGUCUCUGGGCAGUAACUGACGCUGAGGAGCGAAAGCGUGGGGAGCGAACAGGAUUAGAUACCCUGGUAGUCCACGCCGUAAACGGUGGGUACUAGGUGUGGGUUUCCUUCCUUGGGAUCCGUGCCGUAGCUAACGCAUUAAGUACCCCGCCUGGGGAGUACGGCCGCAAGGCUAAAACUCAAAGGAAUUGACGGGGGCCCGCACAAGCGGCGGAGCAUGUGGAUUAAUUCGAUGCAACGCGAAGAACCUUACCU